rfam:Cavia porcellus supercont2_27 genomic scaffold, whole genome shotgun sequence.
AAAUAUGUCUUACUCAACAAAUUAAAUUAGAUACAGAAUCAACUGCAUGUGAGGGCAACCUGGAGAGACUUUGACAGCUCAGGUCAAUCCAAUACCUGCAUCUGCCACUCAUCUUUCCUAUAAAA